AAAAGUAUUGACUCCCCAAAUUUUGCCCUUCCCGCCGAUUGCUUCUCCGGCGGUGGUUAUUCGCCGGUUUUCUCUGUAGCUUGUAAUUCACAAGUUUUGGCUCCCAAAUAUGUGGGAUUUGACGCUAGAGAGCUUCCUGAAGAAUGCACUUUUGAAACAGCUUUUGCAGACUUGGACAAUUCCUUGCAAUAAGCUGUGUGGUCUAAUGAGGAAAAUAAUAGGAAGCUAACUAGUUGGAUUCAUGCACAGAUUGUCCUGGAACUUGUCAAUUAGGUUCAAAUAUUGAAAAAGAAAGGUUCCACAUUUGCCACACUGCACGACAUAGGGAGGAAGAUAGAGAGAGGGCAGAUAGAUUACAACCUAUAUCAUCUGGGUGAGAGAAGUUGCGGCGACCAGUAGGCUUGCCCUUGAACUUUCCUCUUCCCAUGU